UGCGAAGGUACUCGUAGUUUGAAAUAGAGCGAAGCAGCUCGACUAAGAAGGAGAGGAGCGGUUAGGCGCAAAGAAUUUGCGGGUCCUUAUCCUUAUUAGGUAGGAGUGCAACUCAGAAUGGAAGAGGUUAAUAUGGAUUUCUGACGACUGAGGUCUCGACUGAAAGGAUAAAAUAAAGCUCCAGAUGAGUUGAGAAGAAUUUGAGAAGAAUUUCUCUUCUUUCUUUUUUCUUUCGGGGCCCAGAAGGCUAAAAGGUGGGGGAGAAGCAAGCCGAACCUCUGAUCGACCCCUGGAAACAUCACAAAUUCUCGGCGUCGAGAGAGAUUUGAGAUUCCGUAAGUAACUCAGCGAGUGCUUUCUAAGCUAAGAAGGGCUUGACUUGGAAGAAGAAAAUGAAAUACGAACAACCGC